rnacentral:rRNA from 1 species
GAUGAACGCUGGCGGCGUGCCUAAUACAUGCCAGUCGAGCGAACAGACGAGGAGCUUGCUCCUCUGACGUUAGCGGCGGACGGGUGAGUAACACGUGGAUAACCUACCUAUAAGACUGGGAUAACUUCAGGAAACCGGAGCUAAUACCGGAUAAUAUAUUGAACCGCAUGGUUCAAUAGUGAAAGACGGUUUUGCUGUCACUUAUAGAUGGAUCCGCGCCGCAUUAGCUAGUUGGUAAGGUAACGGCUUACCAAGGCGACGAUGCGUAGCCGACCUGAGAGGGUGAUCGGCCACACUGGAACUGAGACACGGUCCAGACUCCUACGGGAGGCAGCAGUAGGGAAUCUUCCGCAAUGGGCGAAAGCCUGACGGAGCAACGCCGCGUGAGUGAUGAAGGUCUUCGGAUCGUAAAACUCUGUUAUUAGGGAAGAACAAAUGUGUAAGUAACUAUGCACGUCUUGACGGUACCUAAUCAGAAAGCCACGGCUAACUACGUG